rnacentral:misc_RNA from 1 species
AAUCAGGAUCUUCAUUUCCUAUUUCUUCACCUCAGCUGCUUCAGGCUGCUUCCCCUCAGUUAUCGCAGCACUCUUCUCCUCAAGUUGAUCAACAAAAUCUGUUGUCAUCUCUAACAAAAACAGGAACCCCUUUGCAGUCUGCUAAUUCUCCUUUUGUUGUACCAUCUCCUUCAACUCCUUUAGCCCCAUCCCCUAUGCCAGGUGAUUUUGAGAAACCAGUAUCUGGUAUUUCCUCACUUUCAAAUGCUGGAAAUAUUGGACAGCAACAAAUUGGUGCUCAAGCACCAGCUCCAUCCCUUGCAAUUGGCACUCCUGG